rnacentral:lncRNA from 1 species
GGGUUUCAUUAAAUCAUGCCUAAUAGGCCGAUGCAUUGGUAGCAUUACAAAAAGCCUAUAAUAUAAAUGAAAUAACGCCCAUAUCUUGAAGAUGUAACGAACUUGGUGUCCCUCCACAUAUUAGCUUCUAAGAGCACAAUUAUCGUGAGAUAUAUGAGGGGUUUUUAAGCGGUGGGUUCCACUUUUUAAUUAAAAACCGGUGAUAGAAGAGAUGAAAUAAAGAUCCACUUUUGUCUGUUUCUUGUACUGUUUGCGAGCCCCACUGACACGUGGCGGUCCAAGAUUAGUUCUUUUUUUAAUUUUUUUUUAAUCAGAGAAAAAAAAAAUUAAGAAACACAAAAAACAGUUUUAGGGAUAAUCAUGGCCGUCUGAAUACACGCGUCCUCCCACGUGUUUAUCAUGCCAAAAGUGGCUCCUAAGAUCGCCACAAAAUCUUCUACCACCAUGGACUUCCAGACUCGCCUCCUAUCACCAUCGUAUCUUUUCACGGGAUUUCGUCAACAGCAAUGAAGGAUGCAUUCCUCCUCAACCGCACAUAUCUGAUCAGAAAACCUCUUUUCACCGAAGUUAAUUAAAACAAAGGAAUCGAGGGUCAGACUAAAGCAUAAUCAUUUGUCGGACCGUUAUACAACACCAACUCAUCUUGAUUUACUCCAGAACUGGCUGAGAGUAUCCAUCAAACCCAAUCUAAUCUCAAAUCAGAGAUGUUUCCUUUACGCCAUAGCAGGCAAAUAAAUAUGAAAGACUGAUUCUCCCAGAGACAAAUUAAAGUGAACACGGGUAAAACAAAAACUGAACCAAAUAAACAACCGGAAUGGAGUGCCGAUCUAGUGAAAACUGAUUAUUUCAAUCUACAAUAAAGAUAAAGGUUUCGUCUUUUUUAUCUCUGAAUUGGCUGAAAAAUGAUCAAAUUAAAAAAAAGGACUUGAAGAACAGCUUCGAGAGAGAUUGAAAAAAACUCCAAAAAAUCGCCCACGCGAAACUGAAAAUUUCCUAACGCGAAAUAAAAUCGAUCUAGAAAUCAAAGGAUUAUUUUACAACAAAAGAAAGUCUUUUUCCUCUAGAAAGUUCAUAUCCUCUGAAAGAUAGAGAUGAGAGAACAUGGAAAUUUUUCUCUUUCUAAAGAGAGGAGAGAGAGCCUCCCAUAGACAAAAUAAA